rnacentral:pre_miRNA from 1 species
CAACUACUCCCUCUGUCCCAAAUUUCUUGUCUUAGAUUUGUCUAGAUACGGAUGUAUCUAAUACUAAAAUGUGACUUGAUACAUCUGUAUCUAGACAAAUCUAAGACAAGAAUUUUGGGACGGAGGGAGUACUUN